rnacentral:rRNA from 1 species
ACAGUGGACGCGAGCAUCUGUGGCCAAGUUUUUAAGGGCGCACGGUGGAUGCCUUGGCACCAGGAACCGAUGAAGGACGUGGGAGGCCGCGAUAGGCCCCGGGGAGUUGUCAACCGAGCUGUGAUCCGGGGGUGUCCGAAUGGGGGAACCCGGCAGUCGUCAUGGGCUGUCACCUGCCGCUGAAUGUAUAGGCGGUGUGGAGGGAACGCGGGGAAGUGAAACAUCUCAGUACCCGUAGGAAGAGAAAACAACCGUGAUUCCGGGAGUAGUGGUGAGCGAAACCGGAGGAGGCUAAACCGUAUGUGUGUGAGACCCGGCAGGGGUUGCGCAUGCGGGGUUGUGGGAGCUCACUUCAGUCGUCUGCCGGCGGCUGGGCGAGUCAGAAAUUGUGGGUGUAGGCGAAGGGCAUGCGAAAGGCCUGGCGUAGAGGUAAGACCCCGUAGCUGAAACAUCUGCAACUCGCUUGUGGGUUUCCCAAGUAGCAUGGGGCCGAAAUCCUGUGUGAAUCUGGCGGGACCACCCGUCAAGCCUAAAUAUUCCCUGGUGACCGAUAGCGGAUAGUACCGUGAGGGAAUGGUGAAAAGUACCGCGGGAGCGGAGUGAAAGAGUACCUGAAACCGUGUGCCUACAAGCCGUGGGAGCGUCGCACUGCAUGCUUGCAUGUGGUGUCGUGACUGCGUGCCUUUUGAAGAAUGAGCCUGCGAGUUUGCGGCAUGUUGCGAGGUUAACCCGUGUGGGGGAGCCGUAGCGAAAGCGAGUCCGAAGAGGGCGUUGAGUAGCGUGUUCAAGACCCGAAGCGGGGUGAUCUAGCCAUGGGCAGGGUGAAGCGGCUGUAAGAGGUCGUGGAGGCCCGAACCCACCAGGGUUGAAAACCUGGGGGAUGACCUGUGGUUAGGGGUGAAAGGCCAAUCAAACUCCGUGAUAGCUGGUUCUCCCCGAAAUGCAUUUAGGUGCAGCGUCGUGUGUUUCUUGCCGGAGGUAGAGCACUGGAUAGGCGAUGGGCCUUACCGGGUUACUGACCUUAGCCAAACUCCGAAUGCCGGUAAGUGAGAGCGCGGCAGUGAGACUGUGGGGGAUAAGCUCCAUGGUCGAGAGGGAAACAGCCCAGAGCAUCGACUAAGGCCCCUAAGCGUGUGCUAAGUGGGAAAGGAUGUGGAGUCGCAGAGACAACCAGGAGGUUGGCUUAGAAGCAGCCAUCCUUGAAAGAGUGCGUAAUAGCUCACUGGUCAAGUGAUUCUGCGCCGAUAAUGUAGCGGGGCUCAAGUACACCGCCGAAGUCGUGUCACUCCAGCAGUACUCCUAACGGGGGCUGGGGUGGGUAGGGGAGCGUCGUGUGCCGGGUGAAGCAGCCGUGGAAGCGAGUUGUGGACGGUUCACGAGUGAGAAUGCAGGCAUGAGUAGCGAUACAUGCGUGAGAAACGUGUGCGCCGAUUGACUAAGGGUUCCUGGGUCAAGCUGAUCUGCCCAGGGUAAGUCGGGACCUAAGGCGAGGCCGACAGGCGUAGUCGAUGGAGAACCGGUUGAUAUUCCGGUACCCGCUAUGCAGCGUCAAACAUCGAAUCAGGUGAUGCUAAGUCCGUGAUACCGCUUGUGCCGGCUUUGCCGGUGCGGGUUUGGUGGAGCCGACGGCCCGAGCUUGUAGUAGGUGAGUGAUGGGGUGACGCAGUGAGGUAGUCCAGCCCGGGUGAUGGUUGUCCCGGGGUAAGGGUGUAGCCCGGUGUGCAGGUAAAUCCGUGCGCCGUUACAGGGUGAGACCUGAUGCCGAGCCGUUUGUGGUGAAGUGGGUGAUCCUGUGCUGUCGAGAAAAGCCUCUAGCGAGUUGUGUGGCGGCCCGUACCCUAAACCGACUCAGGUGGUCUGGUAGAGAAUACCGAGGCGUUCGGGUGAACUAUGGUUAAGGAACUCGGCAAAAUGCCCCCGUAACUUCGGGAGAAGGGGGGCCUCCUCUGGUGAUCCAGCGUGCUUGGUGAGCUGGGGGUGGCCGCAGAGACCAGCGAGAAGCGACUGUUUACUAAAAACACAGGUCCGUGCGAAGCCGUAAGGCGAUGUAUACGGACUGACGCCUGCCAGUGCUGGAACGUUAAGGGGACCGGUUAGCUCCAUUUCGGUGGGGUGAAGCUGAGAACUUAAGCGCCAGUAAACGGCGGUGGUAACUAUAACCAUCCUAAGGUAGCGAAAUUCCUUGUCGGGUAAGUUCCGACCUGCACGAAUGGCGUAACGACUUCUUGACUGUCUCAACCAUAGGCCCGCAGUACGAGUAAAGAUGCUCGUUUCGCGCAGCAGGACGAGUAAAGAUGCUCGUUUCGCGCAGCAGGACGGAAAGACCCCGGACCUUUACUACAGCUUGAUAUUGGUGUUCGGUUCGGCUUGUGUAGGAUAGGUGGGAGACUGUGAAGCGGGCACGCCAGUGUUCGUGGAGUCGUUGUUGAAAUACCACUCUGGUCGUGCUGGAUGUCUAACCUGGGUCCGUGAUCCGGAUCGGGGACAGUGUCUGGUGGGUAGUUUAACUGGGGCGGUUGCCUCCUAAAGGGUAACGGAGGCGCCCAAAGGUUCCCUCAGCCUGGUUGGUCAUCAGGUGGUGAGUGUAAGUGCACAAGGGAGCUUGACUGUGAGACUGACGGGUCGAGCAGGGACGAAAGUCGGGACUAGUGAUCCGGCGGUGGCUUGUGGAAGCGCCGUCGCUCAACGGAUAAAAGGUACCCCGGGGAUAACAGGCUGAUCUUCCCAAGAGUCCAUAUCGACGGGAUGGUUUGGCACCUCGAUGUCGGCUCGUCGCAUCCUGGGGCUGGAGUCGGUCCCAAGGGUUGGGCUGUUCGCCCAUUAAAGCGGUACGCGAGCUGGGUUUAGAACGUCGUGAGACAGUUCGGUCCCUAUCCGCUGCGCGCGUUGGAGUCUUGAGAAGGGCUGUCCCUAGUACGAGAGGACCGGGACGGACGGACCUCUGGUGUGCCAGUUGUUCUGCCAAGGGCAUGGCUGGUUGGCUACGUUCGGGAAGGAUAACCGCUGAAAGCAUCUAAGCGGGAAGCCUGCUUCGAGAUGAGGACUCCCGCCCCCUUUGAGGGGUUAAGGCUCCCUGGAGAUGACGGGGUUGAUAGGCCGGAUCUGGAAGCACGGUAACGUGUGGAGGUGACCGGUACUAAUAGGCCGAGGGCUUGUCCGUA